CCUACGGGAGGCACCAGUGGGGAAUAUUGCACAAUGGGCGCAAGCCUGAUGCAGCCAUGCCGCGUGUGUGAAGAAGGCCCUCGGGUUGUAAAGCACUUUCAGCGAGGAGGAAGGCGGUGAGGUUAAUAACCUCAUCGAUUGACGUUACCCGCAGAAGCAGCACCGGCUAACUCCGUGCCAGCAGCCGCGGUAAUACGGAGGGUGCAAGCGUUAAUCGGAAUUACUGGGCGUAAAGCGCACGCAGGCGGUCUGUCAAGUCGGAUGUGAAAUCCCCGGGCUCAACCUGGGAACUGCAUUCGAAACUGGCAGGCUAGAGUCUUGUAGAGGGGGGUAGAAUUCCAGGUGUAGCGGUGAAAUGCGUAGAGAUCUGGAGGAAUACCGGUGGCGAUGGCGGCCCCCUGGACAAAGACUGACGCUCAGGUGCGAAAGCGUGGGGAGCAAACAGGAUUAGAUACCCGAGUAGUC
rnacentral:rRNA from 1 species